rnacentral:rRNA from 1 species
CCUACGGGUGGCAGCAGUGGGGAAUAUUGCACAAUGGGCGGAACCCUGAAGCAGCGAAGCCGCGUGGGUGAGGAAGUACCUCGGUAUGUAAAGCCCUAUCAGCAGGGGAGAAAAGGACGGUACCUGACUCAGAAGCCCCGGCUAACUACGGGCAAGCAGCCGCGGUAAUACGGAGGGGGCAAGCGUUAUCCGGAUUUACUGGGUGUAAAGGGGGCGUAGGCGGGGUGCCAAGUCUGGUGUGAAAGGCCGGGGGUCAACCCCGGGACUGCAGUGGAGACUGGCAUGCUGGAGUGCCGGAGGGGCAAGCGGAAUGCGUGGUGUAGCGGUGAAAUGCGUAGAUAUUACGAAGAACACCGAUGGCGAAGGCGGCAUGCUGGCCGGUAACUGACGUUGAGGCUCGAAAGCGUGGGGAGCGAACAGGAUUAGAUACCCUAGUAGUC